rnacentral:rRNA from 1 species
CUCUGGUGGCGAGUGGCGAACGGGUGAGUAAUAUAUCGGAACGUACCCUAGAGUGGGGGAUAACGUAGCGAAAGUUACGCUAAUACCGCAUACGAUCUAAGGAUGAAAGUGGGGGAUCGCAAGACCUCAUGCUCGUGGAGCGGCCGAUAUCUGAUUAGCUAGUUGGUAGGGUAAAAGCCUACCAAGGCAUCGAUCAGUAGCUGGUCUGAGAGGACGACCAGCCACACUGGAACUGAGACACGGUCCAGACUCCUACGGGAGGCAGCAGUGGGGAAUUUUGGACAAUGGGCGAAAGCCUGAUCCAGCAAUGCCGCGUGAGUGAAGAAGGCCUUCGGGUUGUAAAGCUCUUUUGUCAGGGAAGAAACGGUGAGAGCUAAUAUCUCUUGCUAAUGACGGUACCUGAAGAAUAAGCACCGGCUAACUACGUGCCAGCAGCCGCGGUAAUACGUAGGGUGCAAGCGUUAAUCGGAAUUACUGGGCGUAAAGCGUGCGCAGGCGGUUUUGUAAGUCUGAUGUGAAAUCCCCGGGCUCAACCUGGGAAUUGCAUUGGAGACUGCAAGGCUAGAAUCUGGCAGAGGGGGGUAGAAUUCCACGUGUAGCAGUGAAAUGCGUAGAUAUGUGGAGGAACACCGAUGGCGAAGGCAGCCCCCUGGGUCAAGAUUGACGCUCAUGCACGAAAGCGUGGGGAGCAAACAGGAUUAGAUACCCUGGUAGUCCACGCCCUAAACGAUGUCU